rnacentral:lncRNA from 10 species
CUGUGUUGGUAGGGACAUCUGAGAGUAAUGAUGAAUGCCAACCGCUCUGAUGGUGGCACAUGCCGAGUCACCCGAGUAAGCUAUUGUUAAGGGCCGUGACCCGAGCCUCCAUCAGCCGUCCGCUCUCAUGAAAGGCUGUCGGUGGUAGUCCACGUGCUUAAGUGCCUGCAUUCCGCAGUGUCACCAAUAUUUCCAUUAGUGUUUCUUUUUUCUUUUUUGAGACCGAGCCUCGUUCUGUCACCCAGGCUGGAAUGCAGUGGCUCGACAUCGGUUAAUGGCAACCUCCGCGUCCCGAGUUAAGCAGUUCUGCCUCAGCCUCCCAAGUAACUGGGACUACAGGCGCGCGCCACCAUGCUAGGCUUUUAUAUUUUUAGUAGAGACGGGGUUUCACCAUGUUGGCGAGACUGGUCUUGAACUCCUGACCUCAGGUGAUCCACCAGCCGUGGUCCCCCAACAUACUGGGAUUACAAGCCGUGAGCCACCGCGCCCGGCCGCCAUCGGUGGUUCUUAACUGCGGGUGCAGUGCUUCUUUGUAACAUUAAGUGUAUCCUUUACCUGUCGCUAGAUAAUGAAUGGUAUGGUGCUGGGUGCAGAUGCAGUGUGGCUCUGGAUAGCACCUUAUGGACAGUUGUGUCCCCAAGGAAGGAUGAGAAUAGCUACUGAAGUCCUAAAGAGCAAGCCUAACUCAAGCCAUUGGCACACAGGCAUUAGACAGAAAGCUGGAAGUUGAAAUGGUGGAGUCCAACUUGCCUGGACCAGCUUAAUGGUUCUGCUCCUGGUAACGUUUUUAUCCAUGGAUGACUUGCUUGGGUAUGGAGAGUCGGCUUGACUACACUGUGUGGAGCAAGUUUUAAAGAAGCAAAGGACUCAGAAUUCAUGAUUGAAGAAAUGCAGGCAGACCUGUUAUCCUAAACUAGGGUUUUUAAUGACCACAACAAGCAAGCAUGCAGCUUACUGCUUGAAAGGGUCUUGCCUCACCCAAGCUAGAGUGCAGUGGCCUUUGAAGC